CAAACUCAAGUUCUGUAACGGUAUUGAGUGACUCAUAGUGGAAAUUGUAACGGAAAUGUAUAUAAAUACUCACGCUUGGUGAAUGGUUAUCAAAGCUUUCCAGUAAAUCGAAAAACAGGUUUAGCUAUGAAACUUUAUCUGCUAACAAUUAUUGCCGUGUUGGUCCUUUUGGUCCUUCCACCGCCCGCAAAUGCGCAAGGAGAAGGGGAGAGUACCAGCGAGGAACCACCACCGUCAAAUUCUACAAUUCCUCCAGGUCCUCCAGGCCCUCCAGGUCCUCCAGGCCCUCCAGGUCCUCCAGGCCCUCCAAGUCCUCCAGGCCCUCCAAGUCCUCCAAGAGCUCCAGGCCCUCGACCAGCCGCUUAAUUCUUAUGUCCAACAGCUAGACCAUCCAGAUUUGUUGAAAACGAAAAUGAAGCACAAAUACCAAUAUCCCGCAGCUCCUUGUUCCCACUUUCUUCUGUUGACUCUGAUGACGAUGUUAGCCCACGUGUGCAGGAUGAAGAUGUCAAGGCGCCACUUGUAAGAGAGCCACGUGGUGCUUCCAUUGAUUCAUAAGUUAACUGGUAACCAAAUUCACCUUUAUUUAAUAGUUUAUUGUAAUUGGUUUAUUUUUUUUUUCUUUUGUAAAAUUAUUAUAAAUAUUAUUGUUAAUCAGAAAGAGCAAAUACAAUAAAAAUAAUAAACGUAAAAUAUUUAUGUAUCAAUA